GAUGAACGCUGGCGGGUGCCUUAUACCUGCCAGUCGAGCGAACGGACGCGAAGCUUGCUUCUAUGCUGUUAGCGGCGGACGGGUGAUUAACACGUGGAUAACCUACCUAUAAGACUGGGUAAACUUCGGGAACCCGGGGCUAAUCCCGGAUAAUCUUUUGACCGGAUUGUUUCGAAUGUGAAAGACGGUCUUGUUGUCACUUAUUCACGGAUUCGCGCUGCAUUAGCUAGUUGGUAAGGUAACGGCUUCCCAAGACAACGACGCACAGCCGACCUGAGAGGUGGAUCGGCCACACUGGAACUGAGACACGGUCCAGACUCCUGAGAGAGGCAGCAGUAGGGAAUCGGCCGCAAUGGGCGAAAGCCUGACGGAGCAACGCCGCGUGAGUGAUGAAGGUCUUCGGAGCGUAAAACUCUGUUAUUAGUGAAGAACAGAUGUGUAAGUAACUGUGCACAUCUUGACGGUACCUAAUCAGGAAGCCACGGCUAACUACGUG
rnacentral:rRNA from 1 species